UACGUAGGGGGCUAGCGUUGUCCGGAAUCAUUGGGCGUAAAGCGCGCGUAGGCGGCCCGGUAAGUCCGCUCUGAAAGUCCAGGGCUCAACCCUGGAAUGCGGGUGGAUACUGGCGACCUAGAGUGCGGUAGAGGGUAGCGGAAUUCCCGGUGUAGCAGUGAAAUGCGUAGAUAUCGGGAGGAACAUCUGUGGCGAAGGCGGGUUGCUGGGCUGACACUGACGCUGAGGAGCGAAAGCCAGGGGAGCAAACGGG
rnacentral:rRNA from 1 species